ACGGGAGGCAGCAGUGGGGAAUAUUGGGCAAUGGAGGCAACUCUGACCCAGCAAUGCCGCGUGAGUGAUGAAGGUCUUUUGAUUGUAAAGCUCUUUUCUUGGGAACGAAGAUCUGACGGUACCCAAGGAAUAAGCCCCGGCUAACUACGUGCCAGCAGCCGCGGUAAUACGUAGGGGGCAAGCGUUGUCCGGAAUGACUGGGCGUAAAGGGUGUGUAGGCGGUUAGGUAAGUUAGAUGUGUAAUACCCAGGGCUUAACUCGGGUGCUGCAUCUAAAACUGCCUGACUUGAGUGCUGGAGAGGAUAGUGGAAUUCCUAGUGUAGCGGUGGAAUGCGUAGAUAUUAGGAGGAACAUCAGUGGCGAAGGCGACUAUCUGGACAGUAACUGACGCUGAGGCACGAAAGCGUGGGGAGCAAACAGGAUUAGAUACCCUGGUA
rnacentral:rRNA from 1 species